AACGAACGCUGGCGGCAUGCCUAACACAUGCAAGUCGAACGAGACCUUCGGGUCUAGUGGCGCACGGGUGCGUAACGCGUAGGAACCUGCCCUUAGGUUCGGAAUAACUCCCCGAAAGGGGUGCUAAUACCGGAUAAUGUCUUCGGACCAAAGAUUUAUCGCCUUUGGAUGGGCCCGCGCUGGAUUAGCUAGUUGGUAGGGUAAAAGCCUACCAAGGCGACGAUCCAUAGCUGGUCUGAGAGGAUGAUCAGCCACACUGGGACUGAGACACGGCCCAGACUCCUACGGGAGGCAGCAGUGGGGAAUAUUGGACAAUGGGCGAAAGCCUGAGCCAGCAAUGCCGCGUGAGUGAUGAAGGCCUUAGGGUUGUAAAGCUCUUUUACCCGGGAUGAUAAUGACAGUACCGGGAGAAUAAGCUCCGGCUAACUCCGU
rnacentral:rRNA from 1 species